UCUGCAGUAAUGGUAUGUGGAGAUGGUGUGACUUCUGACAAGGAGGAGUACACCCCCCUGAGGGAUCAUCAGUGUCUCUGAGAUGUAUAUAUAAAACAAGCAGCAGUAACAUCUACCUUUACUGGUACCAAAAAUACCCUAACCAGGCACCUUAGUGCCUACUGUAUAAAGGUGCCAGAGCAAAUAGAGUUGACCAUAUCUCUAGUCAUCUGUAUGAAUCUACAACGUCCCAAACGUAAACUACACUCAAGAUAAAACAAGUGACUCUGGCAGACACGGCUCUCUGCUACUGUUCCCUGAAGGACGCCCAGUGAUACAGAGUUUCUGAGAGGAUGUACAAAAAGUAAUAGAGUGAUAAAUGACUUGUCAACAGAGGGUCUGUAGAUGUGAUUAUUGUGGUAACACGUGCUGUUAGAGUAAGUAAAAACACAUUUAGCAUAGAGAAACGUAUAUUACUAAAAAUAGAGAAUGUUAUAAAGAUGGAUAACAAAGCAUUUGAAAAUGCAUUUUUAGUCCUAUUAUUCAUUCACUUCAGAAGAUCCUCUGAAAAAAUGAGUUGUGUUUAGAGGAGGAGCUAAUAUGAGAAUGAAAAGGAGACACUCAAAAUGGCAUGAAGGUCUUUCCUCAACUGUCAGUUAACAUUGACAAAGUAGCCAAAACGUGUGGAUCUGGAGAUCUUCUCUGCUGAUGUGACAGACUCUGCUCUGUACUACUGUGCUCUGCAGCCCAGAGUGACAGGAAACCCAUAAACACUGUACAAAAACAUAAGACACUGCAUAUAGACAUUUAAUUAUUUAUGUCAUAUACAACAACAUUUCCUGUCUGGGUAAGGUACAUCCCCUUUCUCUCUGCAGAAAACUAUCCGCAUCAAGCAAUGCAGCAACAGAAUCCAGAAACCAAGGCUGAGAUCUGAUCUGGUAUUUCUAUGUUCCACAUGGAGAACUCUCUGAUACUGGUUCUCAUUCUAGCCUCAGGACAGAUUGCUGGGGAUCACAUUAAUCCUGUAAAUAAUGAAGUGAUCAGUACAGAGGGAGAACUUGUGACUCUGAGCUGUUCAUAUGACACAAGCAGUGAAUAUCCUCUGCUUUACUGGUACCGACAUUAUUCUAACCAGGCUCCUCAGUUUCUGCUGUAUAAAGGUGCCAGAUCAUGGAGCUCUGAAGAACAUAUCCCUGAUAAGAGAUAUACAUCCACAACAUCCCGGACAUCAACUGAACUGGUGAUAACAAGCCUAACCCUGGCAGACACAGCUCUCUACUACUGUGCUGUUGACACAGUGAUACAAAAUGUAUAAUACAUCAUACAAAAACCUGCAGACCAAAAUGCUUUGAUGAAGUGGAAAUCAUAAUUAACCAUCAACCACAUUUGAUGUCAUAAUGGCAGAAGUUGAGAUCAGAGAAAUGUGGUCACACCUGUGCUGUGUUCAAUCACCAGGCGGUCUAGUUUGUCUCUGUCUUCAUAUUCAAUGCACUGUGAGAAAUAUGUAUUCUUCACUCUUCAAUCAGUAGUCUUCAAUUUCACUUACCGUAGGCAGUUUUUUUUAUAUAUUGGUUGGAUAAUCACUUUGGAAUAUUGUUAUUUAUUGAUGGCCUUAUUCACAAUUCACACAGCUUGGUGGUGUAGUAGGAAAGUCAACCUGCAGGGUGCAACCUAACAAAGCACACACACUCCUGAAUCAGAGGAUGUCAUACAGACAGACACCUCCCCAUGGUCUACUACUUCAUGUAAUACAGAACAUGAAGCAUCAACAGUAGGACAGAGUGUGUCAAAGCUCUGUGAUAGAGAGAUCAGCAUUGUUCUGCUCCUUACCUUUUCCACUUCAUACUGACUGACUAGUCAUGAGAAAUUGGCUGAUCCUGCAUAUUCUGGCUGCAUGCUGUUUUGGAAUAACAUCACUCUGUUCAUCUGUCUCUUUCUGCACAUUUGUUAAUUUAAUUUGAAGUGAUGUAAUUUGUAAUGAUGUAAUGGUCGUAGAAGGACAACCAACAACACUCACUUAUCUGUUUGAUACAACUUCUCAAUCACCAUAUCUCUUCUGGUACAAACAACUAGCAAAUAUCAACUGCAUGUUUAUGCUGAGAAGAAAUGUUCACAUGCAGACAGUACUACUGAGUUCAAGGAGAGAUUUGAUGCCCAUCUGAAUGUCACAGCAAAAUCAUUCCCCUUGAAGAUCCAGAGGUUACAGCUGUCUGACUCUGCUGUGUAUGACUGUGCUCUGAGGCCCACUGUGACAACAGGAUAUACUGCCCCUUUACAAAAACGUGUGUUUGUGUGUGUGUAAAGUAUUUUGUGUUGUGUGAUGUUUUUUAAGGGGAGGUGUUACAUAAUUGAGGCGGAGGAAGAGAAAUGCAUGUUAGACUGUAGCUGGCAGUGAGAAACCAGGGGAGUCAUUUUGUCAUAAUUAUACUUGUGUUCACUCUUUUCACUGUGUCAAGUAACACUUACCAGCAUGUUACUAGGAUACAUUUUAAUAUAUGCACUAGUGGGUGAGUAUGAUACUAUUCUUCGUAUCUAAUUACAUAUCCAAUGUAAUUACUGGAGCCUGGAGUAAUAUUACUGUGAAGGAUCUUUUAUACAUUUUUAAGACACUUCAUUGAAUUAAGAGUUGAAUUUUAUGAUCAUUUCCAAAUAAAAAAUAUUGUUUUCAUAAAUGUUUUACAGGUGGCUGUCAAGGGAAGGACAUUACUCCAACAACAGAUAAGGUGUUUGGGUUGGAGGGUGAUGUCAUAAAUCUGUCCUGUAACUACUCCUCUGCUAGUACUCUCCAGUGGUAUCAACAGUACCCUGGAUCAUCUCCCAAAUUCCUUCUCCUCACUACAGUCUCCUCAAACCCCUCUGUAGUGAACGCUACUCCUCCAUACCCACAUCUGUCUAUUAAACUGAAUAAGGAGAGAACCCGUGUGGAUCUGGAGAUCUCCUCUGCUGAUGAAACAGACUCUGCUCUGUACUACUGCGCCCUGGAGCCCACAGUGACAGGAAAUCCUGAAACACUGUACAAAAAUCUGACAGCUCAUGAUAAACACGUCUUGUGCAUAUUUUAGUGCAGAGGUGGGGCAUCCUACUGUAUGUUCAAGAAAAUGUAUUAUCUUUUAUUAAAAAACUGUGUUGGGACUUCACUCCAGCAUAUAACCUCAGCAACAAUGGCUCUCUACGGAGUUAUUUUACUUUCUGCUCUGACAGGUUAGUAAAUUAAUGUAUUACUGUCAUUAUUUUUACAACAUAUAUUAUUUCCUCAUUUCAAAUACAUUUCUCUUGUAAUUGAUCUGUCACCUAUUCAUAUUUGUCGAUGGCAGUUUUCAGCAGACCUUCCAGACAAACCAACAUGAAGUGUAUGAAGAGGAGGGCAGUAAUGUUCAGCUUUCCUGCUACUACACUCAGCAUACAGUGUUUUGUGGUAUAAACAGUAUCCAGGAGCCCACAGUGACAGGAAACUGAGAAACACUGUACAACAACCAUACAACACUCUGCACUAUACUGCUGUGCUGUGACGUCCACAGUGACGCAAAAUUUACUGACUCAGCAGUGAGCUGAAUUUUAUGGAUUUACAAGCAUCUGCUGUAGUCUGUUAGACAACAGUGCCAUCAAUCGGAGUCUCUAGUGAAAAAAAUCAAAUGUAUAUGAAACAUCUUUGAUUCUACAUUGUCAGUAGGAGGAGCUAGAGUAAAAAAACUCAGGAUUAGAUUAUGAAUCCUCAAGAUAAAACAUGAUACUACCAUGUAGAUUAUAGCCAGUUGAUGCUGUGCUUUUCAUCAUCAGUUGGUGCUUCUUCUACACAUCCUGCCAUCUACAAUGUUGUUCUGUUCACUAUUACUCUUCUUUGACUUGAAAGGUAAGUAAUUACAUUUUCAUUCAAACUGAGUGUGAUUAUGUUGAGGUAUUUAUUUUUCAAAUCGAAGAUCAUGAAGCACUACAUGAAGAUACAUGUUUUUACUUUGAAUACUUCUUAUUGUUACACUGCGUUUGGAAUUAAUUCAAUCUUCCAUGUGGGUUUAAGUUAUGUGACAGAUCUUCUUUGUGUGUCCUCCUCCUAUAGACUGCCCUCCACAGUUAUGAAGUCCAGUGACAAGGUUUUUCUAUGUAUAAUAAUGAUACAAUAGUUCCAUACAGUGUUCAACAUUCUGCCCAACAAGGUGAAACCUUGACAUUGCUUGUAUUUUCAAGGGCAAGUUACUAGUGAGAGUCAAUAGGUGUCAGUAGAGUCUCAUAGGUUGCUUCUAUUCCUUUCAGCUAGCGAUAUAAGGUUUUUCAUGGGCUGUGUCUCAAUGCACCGCAUCAGCCUAUGGCGGUCUUCUGCAUCGGCAGGGGAAGAUGGCCAAGCUGCAGCGGUGUUUGUCAGACCAUGAGACAUCGUGAAAAUCGAUCUUCUCACAAAUAUGUCUGUAGCAUCCGAACGGUUUGGCCUAAAAAAUGUAUGUGACCACUCUACCGAAAGACGAGACUCUCACUGUCCAUGUGCCAACUUCUGUUUGUGGCGUACCACUAAUGUGACCCCGCUGGGGAAAGGGUAAAUUCUCACGAACACGAUGGCGAAUUUAAGGGGUUAAAUAUGUGUAAAAAAAACAAUAUAUACAUAUAUAUAUAUAUUUCCUGAGCUUUCUUAUAUCUCAGAGUUAAAGGACAGACACUUCAUUUUUUGCCAUUUAUGAACGUGUUAAAUCCUUUUCUAUGGGAUUUUGGUAGUAUAGGGCAAAUUCUAUAUUUUAUCAAAUCAUCUUGUUAUAUAUUUUAUACCUAAAGGUGUCCUAAAAUUUCAAAUCAAGUAGCUUAAUGAUCCAUUCAGUAUGUCCUGAGAAGAGAUAGUUAUGCAGAAGGGAGCAAUGUUGAUGAGUUUAAGAAGAGGUUUGAUUUCAAGGCUAAAUUUCACUUCUAGCUCUGUCCCCUUGACAAUCCAGAGGUCGCAGUUGUUUGACUCUGCUGUGUACAACUCUGCUCUGAGGCCCACUGUGACAACAAGAUGUACAGCCCCCCACAAAAACGAGUAUAUCCUUGGCACCGGUGUAGAAAAAAUGCAAGACUUACAUCUGUGGUGGGUGUGACAUUAGCAGGGCUGUACACCUCACACAGUGACACACAGAAGGAUAUUUCAGAGGAGAGUGAAUGAAUGCAAACAUUCGUCUGAAGAUGGAGAAAUCAAUCAGUGUAUUGAUCAUUCUGAUUAUGACUACAGGUAAACAACACCUCAACAUUUGAACUCCUUGCAUCCUUAUAAUCAGAUUAUUACAUUAUGGUAUUGGUAGU
ensembl:lncRNA